UUUCAAGGAAGCAUCUUGUUGAAGUCUACUUUGCCUUGUUCCACAGCCAUAUUAUCUAUGGACUGCAGAUGUGGGGACAUGCGCCCGGAUGUAAUGAUGUGCUUCUUCAACAGAAAAAGGCAUUACGAAUUUUGGACUCAGCCAGAUACCUUAUUCAAUGUCAGCCGAUCUUCAUCAGACUGGGUAUCUAUAUGGUGUUCAACCAGUAUAUUCUGCUCUCCUUGCUACACAUAAAAAGUCAUUAUCACUCAAUGACAAGAAGAGCCGAUAAGCAUUCGUAUAAUACCAGAGGGAAAGCUAAAAUUGAUGUACCCUUCUGCAGAUUGAACAAGAAAAGAGACUGUUUCCCUGUACUGGCACAGAAGAUCUUUAACGUGCUGCCAGACAUGGUGAGGGAUCUGGAUGACAGAAGUUUUAGUGGAAGGAUUAGAGCCUGGCUGCAUGGGAUGCCAUUCUACUCUGUGGCUGAAUACUUCGAGGCCGACAAGUCUUUAAUUUGAUUCAAGUGAUUUAGAAUCUGAGCGACCAUCUCGAUCGAUUUUUAAGCUUUAAAAACGUUAAUGUUUGACAAGUUUUGUAAAAAAUUUUACAAUCAACGACGACCAAAUUAGGUCUGAAUAUAAAAUGACGCCGUCCAUCCAGGAAGCUGGUCAAUGACGAAGGACAGAAGUAUGAAGUGGUGUUGACAGGUAAUGGAUUGGAGACACAAAAUGGAUUAUAAGGUUACAGAGUAUAAGGAAAAGCUAGACCACAACGUAUCAAACGAAAUAAGGACACCGGCUUACAAAAGAUGGAUAAAAGAGGCUGUCGAUUUUCAAGAUGAUAAGUGGAAGAAGCUCGUAUCAAGAUCUGUGGACGAAGUAUCAAAGAGGAAUCUGGGGGAAAAAAUUGAUGCUGCUUA